CUGAUUGUGGCUCUGUCUCGCCAUUGAAUUUUGCGGCCUUGAGGUCCCACGCCACAUCAACAGUCUUACCAUCCACUACAAAUUGCUUGGAGCCUUGUUUUCUCCAGAAGUACCAGGGCUUCAAUUCCAUUUUGCACAGGUUAUGGUAGCCGCUGGCUCAUUGUUUUGCUUCUUGCUAGAUGUGAAGCAAACAGGAAUACCUAGUGAAUCAUGCAUGAUAAUAAAAUGAAAAAUGGAGUACAAAAUUAACAAGCUAGAGGCAAACAAAGACAGAUGAAUAUAACUGGGAUGGUUAAGAUCUUCUCAUACAUAUAUGCUGCCAGCUCCAGAUGUUUUCUUAGAAGCAUGUAAUUAUCAAGAGAACCUCAAUUCUAUUAUUCGUGACUUGUUUGUUUCCAAACUAGAAGUUUUGAAGGUGGAGAGGAGUGAGAAUGAGGGAAAAGCAACACAUAUAAUACUCAAUUUUAUUAAGCCUUUCAUUCUGUCAUUUUUUUCUUCUUCCCUUUUUCCUUGUUUAUCAACUUCCUUUUUCCUUCUUCUAAAGUGCGUUAGCUUCAGUCACAGGCUUUAUCUUCACUGUCAUAUUUUUUUUUCUCACACGGUGAAAAGCAAACAGAACCUUUUCAGCACAUUGGAAGUUUUUUGAGAAAGUGCAUCCCAGGAAGGAUAAAAGGUUGUUGUGGGAAGUGGAGCUUGCUUUCAGCAUAAGAGCAUGUGGGUGGGGUAAACUGAGGCUAAUUAUUUUAUAAUUAUAGUUCUUAACUUUUUCAGUUUUUUUGUAGGGACAGAUGAUGAGGGCAAAAAUCUGAGGAAUCUAAAGUUGAUGUUGUGGAUCAGGUCAAACACUUGGUCCCCUAUACUUAAUUUGAUUACUAUAAACUCAUGGUA